rnacentral:rRNA from 1 species
UAGGGAAUCUUCCACAAUGGACGAAAGUCUGAUGGAGCAACGCCGCGUGAGCGAAGAAGGUUUUCGGAUCGUAAAGCUCUGUUGCGAGGGAAGAACAAGUACGAGAGUAACUGCUCGUACCUUGACGGUACCUCGUUAGAAAGCCACGGCUAACUACGUGCCAGCAGCCGCGGUAAUACGUAGGUGGCAAGCGUUGUCCGGAAUUAUUGGGCGUAAAGCGCGCGCAGGCGGUCCUUUAAGUCUGAUGUGAAAGCCCACGGCUCAACCGUGGAGGGUCAUUGGAAACUGGAGGACUUGAGUACAGAAGAGGAAAGCGGAAUUCCACGUGUAGCGGUGAAAUGCGUAGAGAUGUGGAGGAACACCAGUGGCGAAGGCGGCUUUCUGGUCUGUAACUGACGCUGAGGCGCGAAAGCGUGGGGAGCAAACAGG